rnacentral:rRNA from 1 species
AGCAGCCGCGGUAAUUCCAGCUCCAAUAGCGUAUAUUAAAGUUGUUGCAGUUAAAAAGCUCGUAGUUGAAUUUCGGGAUCAAUAUAUCGGUCGUGCCUUGGUACGUACUGGUAUCAUUGGUUUCUCCUUUCUGACGAACCAUGAUGUCAUUAAUUUGGUGUUAUGGGAAGUUAGGACUGUUACUUUGAAAAAAUUAGAGUGUUUAAAGCAGGCUUUAGCUUGAAUACAUUAGCAUGGAAUAAUGAAAUAGGACGUUCGAACCUAUUUUGUUGGUUUCUAGGAUCAACGUAAUGAUUAAUAGGGAUAGUUGGGGGCAUUAGUAUUCAAUUGUCAGAGGUGAAAUUCUUGGAUUUAUUGAAGACUAACUACUGCGAAAGCAUUUGCCAAGGAUGUUUUCAUUAAUCAAGAACGAAAGUUAGGGAUCGAAGACGAUCAGAUACCGUCGUAGUCUUAACCAUAAACUAUGCCGACUAGGGAUCGGAUGAUGUUAAUUUUUAAUGUACUCAUUCGGCGCCUUACG